rnacentral:rRNA from 1 species
AUUGAACGCUGGCAGCAUGCCUUACACAUGCAAGUCGAACGGCAGCACGGGAGCAAUCCUGGUGGCGAGUGGCGAACGGGUGAGUAAUAUAUCGGAACGUGCCCAGUCGUGGGGGAUAACGCAGCGAAAGCUGUGCUAAUACCGCAUACGAUCUAUGGAUGAAAGCGGGGGAUCGCAAGACCUUGCGCGAUUGGAGCGGCCGAUAUCAGAUUAGCUAGUUGGCGGGGUAAAGGCCCACCAAGGCGACGAUCUGUAGCUGGUCUGAGAGGACGACCAGCCACACUGGAACUGAGACACGGUCCAGACUCCUACGGGAGGCAGCAGUGGGGAAUUUUGGACAAUGGGCGCAAGCCUGAUCCAGCAAUGCCGCGUGCAGGAUGAAGGCCUUCGGGUUGUAAACUGCUUUUGUACGGAACGAAACGGUCUGCCCUAAUACGGUGGGCUAAUGACGGUACCGUAAGAAUAAGCACCGGCUAACUACGUGCCAGCCGCCGCCGUAAGAC